GGCCCCCAUCCAGGAAGGCAGCAGGCGCGAAAAUUACCCACUUCCGACGCGGAGAGGUAGUGACUAGUCAUAACAAAUAUAGACCCUAGUGGUUUGUAUUUGGACUGGUGAGAUGUUAUAAAUAUCUCAGUAAUCUAGAUCAGGGCAAGUCUGGUGCCAGCAGCCGCGGUAAUACCAGCCUGAUCAAGCGUAUGCUUUAGUUGCUGCGUUUAAAAAGCUCAUAGUUGGAUCUUCGAGAGCGUGAUCAUCAAAGGGCGUAGUUCGGUUACGGUCGUUCUAUUCCUGGUCACGGACUUUCAAUAUACUUGGAAGACAGUUUAUUCUUAACUGAAUAGACUGAUCGAAAACAAGUGAUAAACCUUGAAAAAAUUAGAGUGCUCAAAGCAAGCUUUGGCCUUGAAUUUUAAAGCAUGGAAUUGAGGAAGAGGACCAUUAUGGUCGUGAACCAUUUUGGUAAUGAUUAAAAGGAACAGACGGGGGCAUACGUAUUGCUCGGGGAGGGGUGAAAUCCGUAGAUCCCAGCAAGACGACCUACUGCGAAAGCAUUUGCC
rnacentral:rRNA from 1 species